ACUCAAAUGAAUUGACGGGGACCCGCACAAGCAGUGGAGCGUGUGGUUUAAUUCGAUACGAAACGAAAAACCUCACCAGGGAUUGACAUGUACCUGCAAGCGCACGGAAACGUGUGACCUUCGAGGGUGGUACACAGAUGCUGCAUGGCUGUCGUCAGCUCGUGGCGUGAGCUGUACCCUUAAGUGGGACAACGAGCGCAACCCGCACCGUAUGUUAAAUAAUUCAUAUGGAACAGUCUGGCUUAUGCCAGAAGGAAGGCGCGGAUGACGUCAAGUCAGCACGGUUCUUACACCCUGGGCUACACACACACUACAAUGGCGAAAAACAACGAGCUGCAAGUCGGCAACGGCAAGCUAAUCUCUCAAAUUUCGCCUCAGUUCAGAUUGGGGUCUGCAAUUCGACCCCAUGAAGUCGGAAUUGCUAGUAAUCGCGGAUCAGCAUGCCGCGGUGAAUACGUUCUCGGGUCUUGCACACACCGCCCGU
rnacentral:rRNA from 1 species